GUGGGGAAUAUUGGGCAAUGGGCGAAAGCCUGACCCAGCAACGCCGCGUGAAGGAAGAAGGUUUUCGGAUCGUAAACUUCUAUCCUUGGUGAAGAUAAUGACGGUAGCCAAGAAGGAAGCCCCGGCUAACUACGUGCCAGCAGCCGCGGUAAUACGUAGGGGGCAAGCGUUGUCCGGAAUGAUUGGGCGUAAAGGGCGCGUAGGCGGCCCGGUAAGUCUGAAGUGAAAGUCCUGCUUUUAAGGUGGGAAUUGCUUUGGAUACUGUCGGGCUUGAGUGCAGGAGAGGUAAGCGGAAUUCCCGGUGUAGCGGUGAAAUGCGUAGAGAUCGGGAGGAACACCAGUGGCGAAGGCGGCUUACUGGACUGUAACUGACGCUGAUGCACGAAAGCGUGGGGAGCAAACAGGAUUAGAAACCCCAGUAGUCC
rnacentral:rRNA from 1 species